UAAUGUAAUUUAAUGUAAUGUACUAUUAUGUCCACCACCACCUGGCAUUUUCAUGUGAAGUAGAAGUAAAUAAGUUCUAUAUAAUUGAGAAACACAUAGAGUGUUACUUAGUUCCAGAAAGGUACGAUGGGAGGUCAGAAGCAAGAAUGGAAAGAAAAGGAGGAAGGCAGGUUCAGUAAAAGGGCACCUAUCUACUGUUGCGUUAUGUGUCAUAUGUUCUGCACACUCAUUAAAAAUAAUGAGAACAUAUUUAAAAGUCAUUGCCCAGAGAAUCUUUGGGGACAGGGCAGGAGAAGAA
rnacentral:lncRNA from 1 species